UACAGAGGGUGCGAGCGUUAAUCGGAAUUACUGGGCGUAAAGGGCGCGUAGGUGGUUAAUUAAGUCAGAUGUGAAAUCCCUGGGCUCAACCUAGGAAUGGCAUAUGAAACUGGUUAGCUAGAGUACGGUAGAGGGAAGUGGAAUUUCCGGUGUAGCGGUGAAAUGCGUAGAUAUCGGAAGGAACAUCAGUGGCGAAGGCGACUUCCUGGACCGUUACUGACACUGAGGCGCGAAAGCGUGGGGAGCGAACAGG
rnacentral:rRNA from 2 species